CCCCUCUCAGGAUCACACCUGGAGAGUUUCCAGUCCUCUACCAGUCUUGACUACAGGAAGGGGAGCCUAGCAGAGGCCUACUCAUUCCAUUCCUGGCUUGGGAAACGGCUAGCGAGUGGAAGGCCAUCUGCUAUAAAU
rnacentral:snoRNA from 1 species